rnacentral:rRNA from 1 species
AACGAACGCUGGCGGCAGGCUUAACACAUGCAAGUCGAGCGCCCCGCCAGGGGAGCGGCAGACGGGUGAGUAACGCGUGGGAACGUACCCUUAUCUUCGGGAUAGCUCCGGCUAACUGGAAUUAAUACCGAAUGUGCCCUUUGGGGGUAAGAUCUAUCGGAUAAGGAUCGGCCCGCGUUGGAUUUGCUAGUUGGUGGGGUAAAGGCCCGCCAAGGCGACGAUCCAUAGCUGGUCUGAGAGGAGGAUCAGCCACAUUGGGACUGAGACACGGCCCCAACUCCUACGGGAGGCAGCAGUGGGGAAUAUUGGACGAUGGGCGCAGGCCUAGUGCAGCCAUGCCGGGGGAGUGGUGAAGGCCUUAGGAUUGUAAAGCUCUUUCAGCGGAGGAGAUAGUGACGGUAUCCGGAAAAGAAGCCCCGGCUAACUUCGUG